rnacentral:rRNA from 1 species
UACGAAGGGGGCUAGCGUUGCUCGGAAUCACUGGGCGUAAAGGGUGCGUAGGCGGGUCUUUAAGUCAGGGGUGAAAUCCUGGAGCUCAACCCCAGAACUGCCUUUGAUACUGAGGAUCUUGAGUUCGGGAGAGGUGAGUGGAACUGCGAGUGUAGAGGUGAAAUUCGUAGAUAUUCGCAAGAACACCAGUGGCGAAGGCGGCUCACUGGCCCGAUACUGACGCUGAGGAGCGAAAGCGUGGGGAGCGAACAGG